GAUUCGUCACACUAUCAUUAACUGAAUCCAUAGGUUAAUGAGGCGAACCGGGGGAACUGAAACAUCUAAGUACCCCGAGGAAAAGAAAUCAACCGAGAUUCCCCCAGUAGCGGCGAGCGAACGGGGAGGAGCCCAGAGCCUGAAUCAGCAUGUGUGUUAGUGGAAGCGUCUGGAAAGGCGCGCGAUACAGGGUGACAGCCCCGUACACAAAAGCGCAUGUGCUGUGAGCUCGAUGAGUAGGGCGGGACACGUGGUAUCCUGUCUGAAUAUGGGGGGACCAUCCUCCAAGGCUAAAUACUCCUGACUGACCGAUAGUGAACCAGUACCGUGAGGGAAAGGCGAAAAGAACCCCGGCGAGGGGAGUGAAAAAGAACCUGAAACCGUGUACGUACAAGCAGUGGGAGCACCCUUCGGGGUGUGACUGCGUACCUUUUGUAUAAUGGGUCAGCGACUUAUAUUCUGUAGCAAGGUUAACCGUAUAGGGGAGCCGGAGGGAAACCGAGUCUUAAU
rnacentral:rRNA from 2 species